rnacentral:rRNA from 1 species
ACACAUGCAAGUCGAACGGCAGCGGACCUUCGGGUGCCGGCGAGUGGCGAACGGGUGAGUAAUAUAUCGGAACGUACCUUUCAGUGGGGGAUAACGUAGCGAAAGUUACGCCAAUACCGCAUAUUCUGUGAGCAGGAAAGCAGGGGAUCGCAAGACCUUGCGCUGAUUGAGCGGCCGAUAUCAGAUUAGCUAGUUGGUGAGGUAAAGGCUCACCAAGGCGACGAUCUGUAGCGGGUCUGAGAGGAUGAUCCGCCACACUGGAACUGAGACACGGUCCAGACUCCUACGGGAGGCAGCAGUGGGGAAUUUUGGACAAUGGGCGCAAGCCUGAUCCAGCCAUGCCGCGUGAGUGAAGAAGGCCUUCGGGUUGUAAAGCUCUUUCGGCCGGGAAGAAAUCGCACGGGUUAAUACCCUGUGUGGAUGACGGUACCGGAAUAAGAAGCACCGGCUAACUACGUG